rnacentral:lncRNA from 1 species
AGCCAUUCAUGGUGUUUCCUGGAAUUCAUUGAAGUUACGCCCACCAUCUACCACCCACCACACGGCAAAGUGGAGAGUAGCAGGGGGAAGCCAAUCGCAAUUAACCCUGCUCUAGCCGCCAUGUGCUGUGAGAAAAGCUCACGCGCCGCGCGCGGGCGCUGCCGCGGAGCACGCCGCAUGACCUGCGCGCUCCAAGGGCGGACACGCGAGCCGACCAUAUCAAAUGCUACGCGCUUCCUGACCGCUCGUUGAGUAAAAAGUCUACUACAUCCUUUUGGGCGGCAAGCGGUCCAUCGAUCCAAGUAGCGUUGCCAAUUGCCGACCUCCACUAAGAAAAGAUUGAGCUAC